rnacentral:hammerhead_ribozyme from 1 species
AUCUAGCUGACGAGUCCGAAACUGGACGACAUGUGCGUCCUAGAU